rnacentral:rRNA from 1 species
UACGUAGGGCGCGAGCGUUGUCCGGAAUUAUUGGGCGUAAAGAGCUCGUAGGCGGCCGGUUGCGUCUGCUGUGAAAUCCCGGGGCUUAACCCCGGGCGUGCAGUGGAUACGGGCCGGCUGGAGGCAGGCAGGGGAGAAUGGAAUUCCCGGUGUAGCGGUGAAAUGCGCAGAUAUCGGGAGGAACACCGGUGGCGAAGGCGGAUCUCUGGACAGCUCCUGACGCUGAGGCGCGAAGGCUAGGGGAGCAAACGGG